rnacentral:rRNA from 1 species
UACGUAGGGUGCGAGCGUUAAUCGGAAUUACUGGGCGUAAAGCGUGCGCAGGCGGUUGGUUAAGUCUGAUGUGAAAGCCCCGGGCUCAACCUGGGAAUGGCAUUGGAAACUGGCUGGCUAGAGUGCGGCAGAGGGGGGUGGAAUUCCGCGUGUAGCAGUGAAAUGCGUAGAGAUGUGGAGGAACACCGAUGGCGAAGGCAGCCUCCUGGGCCAGCACUGACGCUCAUGCACGAAAGCGUGGGGAGCAAACAGG